rnacentral:rRNA from 1 species
GUCUAUGGUCAUACCACCCUGAACGUGCGUGAUCUCCUUUGAUCUUGGAAGCUAAGCUGGGUUGGGCCUGGUUAGUACUUGCAUGGGAGACCGCACGGGAGUACAGGGUGCUGUAGGCU